CACUUAUUUGGCGCUCGCGGAGGAGGAAGGCGGGGCCGUGAAAUAAGGCCCAAUGGGCCCCCGGGGCGCGUGCGCGGACGAACACUAUCCGCUCCUAACGCCGCAGUUUCCUCGUGAUCCCCAAGGUCCGGGUCGGGCGUUGCGUGCCCCGCGCGGGCGGCCGGGCAGAGGGACGAUGGUCAGUGGACGGACGGCGCCAGGGAGCAGUGCCCACGCGCGGCAGGGCGGCACCUUCAGGCCUCCAGAGGCUGGAGCUGGCUCUGUUGGUCUCUGCUGGGUUUCUUCCUCUGCACCGCAGGGCUGGCUCUCCUGACCUCUCCAGGUGUAAUCGAACACCCUUGCGCUUGCUGUCACCCGCUGCCUGUCUGCAGGAUCCCGGAUUCCCUAUCAGGGGACCGAAAUUAGUCGGAAAAUAAGAAACAGGUCGGAAGCCCAGCCCAGCCUCACUCAGCCAAAAUCAGGGUGUCUGCAGGGCCGAUUGCUUUUGGAGCUCCAGGGGAGAAGCUGUUCCUGCCUUUCCAGUUUCUAGAAGCACUUGAGCCCCUUGUCUCAUGGCCUAUCCCACACCUGAAAGCCAGCCAAAGCCAGUUGAGUCCUCACCCUGCUGGCCCCGACACUGACUCUCCUGCAUCCCUCAUCUGCUGUCAAGGCCCCUUGUGAUGACAUGGGGCCACCAGCUCGCCCAGGGCACCUCCUGUCAUUCCAUCUGCCGCUGUAAUUCCCCUUUGCUUGGAACCAACGUUCACAGAUCCCUGGGUAGAGACGGGGUUUCACCAUGGUCUCGAUCUCCUGACCUCAUGAUCCGCCCGCCUCGGCCUCCCAAAGUGCUGGGAUUACAAGCGUGAGCCACCGCGCCCGGCACCAUGUUUCAAGGACACUCAGGCAGCCCCUGGAUCGUCCAUGUGGGGAGGAAUGAAGGCCUCCUGCCUGCAGCCUCGGGAGGGAGCCUUCUCAGAAGAGGAUGCCCCACCCCCUGCCCAGCCUUCAGAUGGCCAGGACAUCGUCCAACGUCCUGACUGCAACAUCAUGACAGACCCCGAGCCAGAAACCCCCAGCUUUUGUACUCCUGACUUACGGGAACUGACAGAUAAUGUUCGUUGUUAAUUAAGGGGUGACUUGUCACACACAAUAGGUCACUAAACAGCUCUGUCUGGCCUCCCAGGAGGA